UUUAUCAUUUAGUGCAAUCACUAUAUAAUCUACCUCUUCACAUCCAAUUUUUCCGAGGAGAAGAAGAACUACGACGUAGAAUCUAUAUUUCCCCGGUCAUGCCAAUGUCAUCAACUCUGGAUCAAGUAUGAACUUCUUUGAAACUUAUGAAUUCUCACCUCAGUUAACGACGAGGUCGUCAAGAAAACCUAUAAGUAGUCCAAGAAGGUAAAUUUAAUAGUCCUAAACUGUUUUUGUGUUUUCAACUGCAGAAGGGUAAGUGACAAUCACUUCUAGGGAACCAUCUCAGAGUGUAUUGGCAACUGGUCUCAGCUUAUAAAUCUGUAAGGUCAGCAUUCAUCAAAAAAAUUUUAUUUCUCUUAUACUUUGUAUCUCUGCACCAUCUAAACUGUUUCAGUUAACCAUAUAAUGAAUAUAAUUGCAGUUGAUUAGCAAAUGGAAACUAAAGCAGGACUCAUGUUUAAAGCAAUUUUUUUUUUGAUGAGACUGGUAUAAGCAUCAUCCCAAAUCUUAUCCAGAAACGGCAUCAAUACCCUGUAUUUUUUGAUGUUUCAGUGACCAUUUCUAAAAGCCAUGUGUCAGUGACUUUCACCUUUUGUAACGACUUGGUGUAACUGUGUGCGGGCACAAUAGAACACAAACUGUGUGUGAUCUGGCGUGUAGAAAAGGACUUGACGUCCUCGACCUUCCACCUGAUAUCCAACCACACUCGAGAAGGAGUACUUCAAGAACCAUCAUUGUCUCUAAAAUCGUACAUGGGAAAACUCUCCAUAAGUUUGGGGCAUGUAACUGGUACACUGAUACGUACUCCUGCAGGAUAUGUACAUUCUUAGAUGUUCAUUUUCUUCAUCUUAUUUAGAUUAAAGGGGCAGUAACCUUGAAGAAGAUGAUAGGGAUGGGUUUUCCUUUGUUAGACGUGAUAUACCCGUAACCCGCCACUAGCACUGAAAAGCUUUCUGGCUAAGGUUGUGAAGUUGUUCAGCCGUCUACUAAGCUUCUGCCAGUUGCUCAGAUGGGAGUUGUUGGUCGGAGGUGAUUGUAUCUUUCACAUAAUUGGAAUCGCACAUGACAAAUCAAGUUGGCUUCUCGGUGACUUCCUGCAGUCAUUAUGAAAGCUCAUGGACCUCUCAAGAUAUCAGCAAUUGGGAAUUGAACAAGAUUCUCCGGUGAGAUCGAGUUGAGAUACCUCAUCGGCAAAACCUUGAUGGAACCAUUGUCAUAUGCUUCUUCUGAGUAAUCUCUGGCUACAAGGUUCUGAAA